GGCAGGGUAGCCUAGUGGUUAGAGCGUUGGACUAGUAACCGAAAGGUUGCAAGUUCAUAUCCCUGAGCUGACAA
rnacentral:tRNA from 1 species